CAAAACCGCUAGGCUGCCACAGAGAGGCCCUGCUUUCCAUCAGAAUAUUACCCCUUCGUUUCCCCCUUCUUUAAACGCUAAACGGAGAGAACAGGCUUGGGCUGGGAUAAUGGGAUCUUUUCUCUCUCUCUGCCGCCGGGGGUGAAAACGGCAACAAUGGAGGCAAAAUGAUUUAAAGGGAGCUUUUUCACCUGCUCUCCUUCUUCUCCCAAGCUAUCUGUGUCUUUCAGAGGAUGCUAAUGCCAGCUAAUUUACCAAAAGCACCAAACCAGUGUCUACUUGUGGUUCGAGCAUUGGGCCAGUAACCGGAAGGAUGCUGGAUCGAAUCCCCGAGCUGACAAGGCCCAGGCAUGGAUCAAAGCUGGCGAGACGUUCAAUGAGCCAUCAUCGCAGACGAAUCAACCGUGGCCCUUGAGCAAUUAGCUCAAAAUUGCUACAGAAAAAAGUAAGAUCAAGCAAGCCAAGUCUCAAGCAUCCCUUCAAACUCCAUGUGUGGGGGGCAAUUUCUCGCCAGGGACCAGGCCCAUUUUUUAUGUUUGAUGGUAUCACGGCUCAAGAUUUCUUUGAGGAAGAAAUCUUCAAUAGGUAUACUUAACCCUAUGUCAGAGAGGUGUUUCUGGGACCACAUCGUUUCUUUCAAGACAAUGACCCAAACCAAAUUGAGGGACAACACUGGGCCAAUUGUGUGCCACCAUAUGGGUCUCUCAAUCACAGUUGGAUGAGAUACAGUCUGGAUUCAAACCAGGGACUCUAGUGAUGCCUCUUGCACUGAGAUGCAAUGUCUUAGACCACUGCGCCACUCGGGAGCCAUGACCAAUAGGACCAAUAUAUAUUCUCCAGCUAAUAGCCCAUCCUAGAAACAUGCUCGUGCUAUGCUUGUGAAAAACAUGGUUAAUAAUAAUAAUACUUUUUCCCCCUUCCACUUGUUAAAGUUUCCAAUUGAUAAAGUUUUUUUUAAUCAAUUAGUAUAUUUGAGUUUAACCACAAUAUUUGUUGUAUUAUUUGUUCUGUCUUUUCUGGUGGAUUAAACCAACUUUCUAUGGCUUGUUUUAAAAAAUAACAAUAUUUCGGAGAAUAUUUUAUUUUCAAAAAACCUAAAGUGAGCGAGAAAAAUGCCAUUCUUGAACAUGGGGUGAGACAUUGUUACUAAUUUGUAAAAAAAAGCCAGUUUGUUAUUUAGAAUGAUUUUUUUUCUGUUUAUAUUUUAUUUAUUUAUUCAUUUUUUACCCCUUUUUCUCCCCAAUUUCGUGGUAUCCAAUUGGUAGUUACAGUCCUGUCCCAUCGCUGCAACUCUCGUACGGACAUGGGAGAGGCGAAGGUCGAGAGCCGUGCGUCCUCUGAAACACAACCCAGCCAAGCCACUCUGCUUCUUGGCAACUGUAUCAGCGUGCAUUGCACCCAGCCCGCCACAGGAGUCACUAGUGCGUGAUGGGACAGGAACAUCCCUGCUGGCAAAAACGUUCCAUAACCCGGACGACGCUUGGCCAAUUGUGCGUAGUCCCAUGGGUCUCCCGGGUGCGACAGAGCCUGGACUCAAACCAGGAUCUCUAGUGACACAUCUAGCACUGUGAUGCAGUGUUUAUUUCUGUUUUUAAAGGGAGAGAAACCAAAAGCCUACUGUUGUCUCAUGGGUCUCAGCUGGCACGGGUAUCAAACCAGCAUCUGUAGCAACUCAGUUUGCACUGCGUUUGCACUGAGAUGCAGUGCCUUAGACCGCUGCGCCACAUGGGCGCUGUACAAUGUGACAGGUUGGGAGUAGGCUACAGUACUACAGUAAGAGAAAAAAUCAUCCUAACAUUUCCACUCCCUAAUUGUAGUCUAAGUUUCUCUUAGAAUAAAAACCUUAGUGUAACAACAGUUUUAGUAAGUAAUACUGAUGAGUAGUAUCAAAAAAAGAAGUGUAUUUUUUUCAGGUGCGCGUGCAGGACAUAGGAAUAGCAAUUCUUACACUAUUGUUCUAAAUUCAGUCACCUUCUUCAUCCUCAUCAUUCAGUUCAUUAAAAUUCAAUAAAAAUGUCAUAAUGAAAUCAUAUCACUGUGGAGUAAGCAACUUUUACCAAAC
rnacentral:lncRNA from 1 species